GCAUCCGCAUUUGGAUUCUGCAUUUGGACUUGGGCACGGAUCCGAACACCCGAUGGAUUCAAAUCUUUACCCGCGAGAAGUUGGCCUGUUGGGAGCCCAUACGAUCGAAGCGGCGCGGACGGGUACACGGACGCGUGUUCGCACACAAGUUACGAUACCUCUCUCCUGCGCCUCCGCCUCCGCCUCCGCCGAUGGUCUCGGUGGCUAAUCUCCUCGUCUACGUCGACGCCACGGCAUUGGCUUUCGCAUCACUUCUGUCCGCCAACCCUCUCAGACCGCUCUCUUCCUCUCGCCCUCUGCUCGUUUCCUCCUGGACACGCCGCCUCCUUACUUCCGAUAUCUACAAUUUUGUAGGUGUUGAUACAGUAGCAGCAGAUAUUGCUGCCAAACAAUGGGCCAAAUGGCAAAGUACAGAGGACUCAGGCUAUGAUGCCUUGUUCAGCAGAGACCGAGCCAGUUAUCCAAACCCUCGGCUUCAUAAGUAAUGUGAUAUCGUCUUGACAGUAGAGGUUUCUUUGUUGCACAUACUUGGAGUUCGACUUGGCCACUGGAGUUGGAAGUUGAAGCAUACUCAGAAGCUGCAUCAAGCUUUUCAGAAGUUUGAACAUCACUUGCUGAAUUGGAGCAGUUGGGUUCUCUGCAGAUAUCAUUGUGGCUAAGCUGAGACGCGACAAACUUGUCAAGCACCCUCCAGUCUGUCACCUGCUCUACCACUUGAUUGAUGUUUCCUGUAUUAUCAUAAGUGGAGACGAUCUGAAACUGCUUACUGGACUGUAUUAGAUCUUCCUCUGCGAUGAUCGAUGACUGGAAAGCAGUUGCAUGGCUGACAUACAUAGGAAGCUUGGGGCUCUCUAGUUGGGGGAGCUGGAGGAAAGAAUCAUGUGGCAAGUGGUAGUGCACCUCCAGCUCUGGUUUGCAAGGCAGAAGGUGGUGGUGCUGGUGGUACGCCAUCUCUGGCUGGGGGCUGAUCUGCUUUGCUGAAUCGAGCUCCGUUAUGAAUGAUGCAUGAUCAUCAUACCAGCAGGGAGUAUCAUGGUCACUGACUCUUCUGACAGCCGCUAAUCUUUUCUUGAAGACCCUACAGACGACCCAUCCCUCUUCCUGAAACAUAGAAGCAAAUCUUUUAUCCGAAACACAAAAGUACUUUUAUAGGACUUGAAGAAUGGGAAUGAAGAGUGUCAAUGGAAAAUGAGCUAUGGUUUUAUCAGAAGAAAUAUUCAGAUUCCUGGUGGAUCAAAUCCACAUAACUUUUUCAUGAACUUGGUUCAAAUUCAGAUUUUGACAAAUGCUUUGGGACUUCAGCACGAGCAAAAUUGCAGGGUCUUUCGUAGCGGCUGAGUUCAUGUAAAAGGGAAGACGAGGAGGAACAGUUCUUACGGGUGACAGAUCACAGCACUGUGGCUAAAAGCUUCCAAGUACGUGGAAUGUCUUCUUUGGUUUGUACACGCCGGAUCGGAGAGUCCGUUGCGACAGAGAGAAGAUGGAGACCGAUUGCUCCUACUCCACCAGUUUUACUUCUCUCGGCAGAAACCUCGGGAAUCCAAUCGUUAGUGCCUCCUCCUCCUCCCUUUGGGGGCACCGCGAAGGAUCAGAUCCCGAGACUGAAGUCGCUCAACAAAGGAGAGAGAGAGAGAGAGAGAGAGAGAGAGAGAGAGAGAGAGAGGAUGUGGAAUAUAGCAAAGGAAGAGGAAAUGGCGUUCGUUAACCGACGGUGUGCGGUGCUGCAAAGGACGGGAAGUGUAUUAUAGCCAGGCCCGGUUUCUCUUUCAGCAGAGCGUGCCGCAAACAAGGUACGCGUAUGGAUGGAUGGAUUGCGGGGAAAGGCUUCGAGGGCAGAGGAAUGGCGCCGCAAUGGCCGGAAUCCUUUGGUCUUCUUGGCCGCAACCGCCACCACCUCCCCUCCCCUCCCCUCCCCUCCACCCGCAACCGAUAGCGACCACAACACCGAAGGCCACAAAGCUUCCCUUCCUUCUUCCACAGAGAUCACAAAGAGAGAGAGAGAGAGAGAGAGAGAGAGAGAGAGAGAGAGAGAUCUCUGCAGACAAAAGCAAAUGGACUGAGAUAAAUAGUAACUGCAGCAUGAGCCCAUGCAUGGCACUGAAACAUGGCUGAGGGCGAGGACAAUUGCGGGAAAUCCAAAGCAGCAUGUGGCGUUGGGGACCGCCCUGCUUUUGCUCUCAGCGGUUGGUCGUCCUUCUUCUUCCUCUGCCUCUUUCCUUGCUGCCUUUUGCUGUCGUCACUUGGAUCACGGCUACCGGUGGGCCUCUUUCGGACCGACCUAAGCAUUCCGAUGGAGACGCACCUCCAACCACAAAUCCCUACCGGCAGAAGAACAUUAAACAAACGAGCAAAACGUUGACGUUGUCCUCAGCCAAAUCAACAACUUUACUCAUUCGAGCCCAGGUUAGUGUUCUGCUCAAGCUCCUUUUCUCGUCUGUAAUAACAAUCUGUGAGAGAGAGAGGAGUUAAGCACGCAUGCGCGGGUUCAGCGCGUGGCGGCGUGGUUCUCGUCGGUCCCACCCCGUCAACCCAGGUCGCUGGUUGACACGUACGUCGGCUUCUCCUCCCUCUUUUGCCCUUAGGUCUGCGCGGUGGGAAGAGAGGGGGGAGAGAGGGUGUGUGACGCUGAAGGGUGGAGAUGUAUUAUAAUAUUCGUGGUGUGGAUUAUGGUUUGGGAGA